AGCACCUGCAGAAACAUGGCGUACUCUGGCACCUGUCGUUGCUCUUAAUAAAACCAAGCGUAGCGUCACUUGGCGACGUAGACUGACUCGCAUGUUUCUCCAUGCUCACCGGCAGGCUAGCUGGCUAAUGAGCUAAUGAGCUAAUGAGGCUAAUGAGGCUAAGCAGCAGGAGCAGCAGCAGGAAGGGUGAAGUGAUGAUUCAUCAUGGCUGAUGGACAUGAUGUGUCACAGUCAUAUUCAAGUUCCUAUUGGCCCAGAGUUCAUGAUGUGUCACAGUCAUAUUCAAGUUCCUAUUGGCCCAGAGUUCAUGAUGUGUCACAGUUGUAUUCAAGUUCCUAUUGGCCCAGAGUUCAUGAUGUGUCACAGUUGUAUUCAAGUUCCUAUUGGCCCAGAGUUCAUGAUGUGUCACAGUCGUAUUCAAGUUCCUAUUGGCCCAGAGUUCAUGAUGUGUCACAGUCAUAUUCAAGUUCCUAUUGGCCCAGAGUUCAUGAUGUGUCACAGUCAUAUUCAAGUUCCUAUUGGCCCAGAGUUCAUGAUGUCACAGUCAUAUUCAAGUUCCUAUUGGCCCAGAGUUAAUGGGGGUGGAAGAGUAAUGGACACAAUAUGCUUGUUUUAUUGUUUUGUUUUAUUCAAUGCUAUAUAUGGAGCGGACACACACCCUGAGCUUUACUCAGUGCUAUAUGUAGACACGUACUAAAGCCAGAGACGCACCAAAUCGACAUCAAUGAACCUGAAGGCUGAUCUUUUUCAUCGCCUUGCGUUGCUUGUGUCUGGUUCAAAAAGAUGCACUUGAACACACCGCAACCACUACGGCCAGCAAGCAUAUAGAUUCUGUGAUGUUUAUUUACAGCUGUGUUUCAGUGCGAAGGCCAGUUAAUCUCCAUGGAAACACAGGUGUCUGACAGGCUUUGAACAUUUGCGUUCACAAAACGGGAACACCGUGAACUCUCUAAAGUGACACAGCACUUUUUUUUUGUUUCUGAGAUGUUCUGCAUCAUGUCAUGUUUUUUGUAUAGUGUACUUUUGAACACGGACAUUACAUUGAAAACCAUGAGAAUUAUGAACAACAUGUACAUAAACAAUAUAAAA
ensembl:lncRNA